rnacentral:rRNA from 1 species
GAUCCUGGUUCAGGAUGAACGCUAGCUACAGGCUUAACACAUGCAAGUCGAGGGGCAGCAUUCCAGUUUGCUUGCAAACUGGAGAUGGCGACCGGCGCACGGGUGAGUAACACGUAUCCAACCUGCCGAUAACUCGGGGAUAGCCUUUCGAAAGAAAGAUUAAUACCCGAUGGCAUAAUAGAACCGCAUGGUUUGAUUAUUAAAGAAUUUCGGUUAUCGAUGGGGAUGCGUUCCAUUAGGCAGUUGGG